UACGAAGGGGGCUAGCGUUGCUCGGAGUUACUGGGCGUAAAGCGCGCGCAGGCGGCGGUGUCGGCCCGGCGUGAAAGCCCCCGGCUCAACCGGGGAGAGUCGUCGGGGACCGCACCGCUUGAGGGCGGUAGGGGCUGGUGGAAUGCCUGGUGUAGCGGUGAAAUGCGCAGAUAUCAGGAGGAACACCGGUGGCGAAGGCGGGUCUCUGGGCCGAUACUGACGCUGAGGAGCGAAAGCGUGGGGAGCAAACAGG
rnacentral:rRNA from 1 species